rnacentral:rRNA from 1 species
AUGGAUGUGAUGGAGAAGCAGGCUGGUGGUUUCGGCAAGGCUGGAUUUAUAUCUCGCGAUCUGUAUAACCAUGUCGCAUUGGAGAAGAAGAAAAAGAUAGAAGGUAGCGAUGCUCAGUUUAUGCUGAACUACAUGACAGCACAACAGAUGAAAGACCUAGAUUUUUUUUACAGAUACACCACAGACAAUGAUGGGCAUCUGCAGAACAUAUUCUGGGCAGACGCCCAAUCUCGCUUGGACUAUGUUGCAUUUGGUGGUGUGGUGGUGUUUGAUAGCACAUACCGGUCAAACAAAUAUAGGUUGCCAUUUGUUCCAUUUGUGGGGCUGAACCAUCACCGCAGCACAGUCGUGUUUGGGGUUGGUCUUGUAUCCGACGAAUGGGUUGGUCUUGUAUCCGACGAAUCGGCUGACUCAUAUGAGUGGUUGCUUCAGGUUUUUUUGGAGGCAAUGCACCAGAAGCAUCCCAUUUCAGCGAUCACAGACGGUGAAGCUUCAAUGGCCAAAGCCAUAUCAUCAGUCUGGCCUAGCACAUAUCACCGUCUGUGCAGCUGGCAUAUUGAGCAGAAUAUGGUGCUUCACCUCCGAAAGGAAAAGCUUAAGGAAUUUAUGAAAUUUAUUUACUAUGCCAUGGAUAUGCAUGGAUUCACAGGAUGUACGAGCUGA